AUUGAAGGGUUGGGUCCCACAAGGGAAGUUGUGUCUUUUGGAUUAUUUGGCAAGCCCUUGGAGAAAGAUUGAUGCCACACCUGGUUCUCUCUUGCCCUAGGCAGGCAUUUACACCCACCCAUGGGAAGCAAGCACUGAAGGAAGUGUAGGUGGAGGCGCAACCCGAUGCUCUUGCAGCAUGCAGGCAAGGAGAAGCAGAAGUUUGCUCCCAGUGGUGGGAAACUGAAAACACGUGGGGAUUGAAGUACAAGUCUUCGCAAGCAUCAUCUCAAGACUGACUGCUUCCACCACUCCCUGAGAGGCAACACAGAGGCCUGUGGGAAGCCCAGAUGCCGUGAGCAGGGAGUUAUAUGGCCACUGUGUCCAAGUGGCUUUCCAGGAUACCAGAGGGCAAUGGGGUAUGAGAUGGAGGUGGGAGGCUGACCUCCGAUCACCUCUGGACCCGGGUUGAUCCAUACCCAAGGGCCAGAUUUAGCCAGUAUUCAAGGCCAGUGUGAAAGGAUUUUGAGCUGACAUUAAAAUCAAUUCUAAAUAUUAAGACAAUUCUAAGAUUUACACAUCCUUCUUUACCCUUCCCUUUUCUGUAUGAACAGCGACACUUCAACAGAAAAUUUCCUUAUAUCUACCAGAAGAAAAACAGUAUAAUUUUCAUUCUUUCCUUCCUCUCCUCUCCUCUCCUCUCCUCUCCUCUCCUCUCCUCUCCUCUCCUCUCCUCUCCUCUCCUCUCCUCUCCUCUCCUCUCCUCUCCUCUCCUCUCCUCUCCUCUCCUCUCCUCUCCUCUCCUCUCCUCUCCUCUCCUCUCCUCUCCUCUCCUCUCCUCUCCUCUUUCUUCUCUUCACUUCUUCUUUAACCUGGAAAAAUCACCAUUUAUAGUAAUAAUUUCUUCCAUCAUUGAGCAUAAUGUUCUUUCAGAUAGGAUACAAUCUUCCAUCAUUUGCUUUACAAAAACUGUAAUUCUAAUGAUAAGGUAAUGUUCUAAUUAAGUACAAUACUAAUUAAUGUAUUAGCCUUAUCUGAUUAAUGCAUGAAAUAUCAUCCAGUAUAUGGUUUUAAAUUCCUAAUCUGUUCUUACUUAAAGCUAUGUAAACCUACAGUUUGAUAAACUUGGAGGCAUUUUCCAUUUGAUGGGAAAAAGAAGAAAUUAAGCUGCAUUUUCACAAGGCAAAAUACCACAUAAAGAGAAUUUCU
ensembl:lncRNA